rnacentral:rRNA from 1 species
AUUGAACGCUGGCGGCAGGCCUAACACAUGCAAGUCGAACGGUAACAGGAAGAAGCUUGCUUCUUUGCUGACGAGUGGCGGACGGGUGAGUAAUGUCUGGGAAACUGCCCGAUGGAGGGGGAUAACUACUGGAAACGGUAGCUAAUACCGCAUAACGUCGCAAGACCAAAGAGGGGGACCUUCUGGCCCCUUGCCAUCGGAUGUGCCCCGAUGGGAUUAGCUAGUAGGUGGGGUAACGGCUCACCUAGGCGACGAGCCCUAUCUGGUCUGUGAGGAAGAACAGCCACACUGGAACGUAGACACGGGCCAAAAUCCUAAGGGAGGCAGCAGUGGGGAAUAUUGCACAAUGGGCGCAAGCCUGAUGCAGCCAUGCCGCGUGUAUGAAGAAGGCCUUCGGGUUGUAAAGUACUUUCAGCGGGGAGGAAGGGAGUAAAGUUAAUACCUUGGCUCAUUGACGUUACCCGCAGAAGAAGCACCGGCUAACUCCGUG